CUGCAUUUUGCCUCAGAGUCCUCACCCACUGCAUCCUUUUGGUCUGGCACAAGUGUUUACAUAGCUGCUCAACGAACCAGAGGAGAUACGGUUUAGGCUUAUAUAAAGACUCAACUGCACACACAAAAUUCUGGCGACAGCGAUAACAUGGCACCUAGAAAUAAAAGUAAAACAAAGAUCAGUUGAAGAAGCCCAGAGAGCAGCCUGAGGGAUGAGAUGACAACCCUAAUUGACGAGGAGGGUGGAAUCUGUCAGCAAAGUUAGUUUUCCAUUGGAUCAACUCACUGACCUGGCAAAAUCUGAUGUUGCGGGAUCACUAGAUCCAACAUGAGGAAAGUGGUGAGAGCACAGCACCACAAGAGAGCAAUCCGAAUGACUUUUUUCGGCAGCAGUCUGACUUACAGAGGAUGAGAUGUAACGUGAAAUCACUUUGCAGUUAGUAAUAGUGCUGUUUUAUCACACUAAACAAACAGGGAAAUGUGACUAAAUGUCUCAAAUUCCCCUCCUUUUUCUCUCCUUAUUCUGCUUUCCAGUGCGGGGCCUGCAUUCACAUCAGCCUUCAUUUUAUCAGUACAUCAAGAAGAUGAAAGAUGCUUAAAUAAUUGUUUCCAUAGAUUUUUACAGGCAGUCUUUUUAACAUCUCUCUGACUGCCAUUCAACUUCUUGCCUCCAACCCUGCUCAGGCACAAUUUCUGGCAUCUUUACUUGAGGUGCCCAAAAUGGAACAACUAAAGAAACAAUGACACCUUAUCCCAAAGUAUUUACUCUUUCUUAUUUGUGGGAAUGUAUUAAAUUUGAGGGAUGAUAGGCUGCAUUCA